AGAACGAACGCUGGCGGCAGGCCUCAAACAUGCAAGUCUAGGGGGUGUAGCAAUACAUCACCGGCGGACGGGUGCGUAACACGUGGGAAUAUACCUUUUGGUUCGGAACAACGCAGGGAAACUUGCGCUAAUACCGAAUGUGCCCUUACGGGGAAAGAUUUAUCGCCAAAGGAUUAGCCCGCGUAGGAUUAGCUAGUUGGUGAGGUAAUGGCUCACCAAGGCUCCGAUCCUUAGCUGUUCUGAGAGGAAGAUCAGCCACACUGGGACUGAGACACGGCCCAGACUCCUACGGGAGGCAGCAGUUGGGAAUCUUGGACAAUGGGGGAAACCCUGAUCCAGCCAUGCCGCGUGAGUGAUGAAGGCCUUCGGGUUGUAAAACUCUUUCGGACGGGACGAUAAUGACGGUACCCGUAGAAGAAGCUCCGGCUAACUUCGUGCCAGCAGCCGC
rnacentral:rRNA from 1 species